GUGCAGGAAUGAAAAAUUAGGGGUUUUACUUGAAAAUCGUACCUCGUGCCGAAUUGAGGUUACAUUUCUCCGUAUUUUGGUUGCUAUUAUGCUGGUGAAUUUCUUUUCGUUUCCUAUCUUCUUUGGUUAGCAACGAUCUAGCUACCUACACUUGCUGCCGCAGGUUGUGUGGUAAAAACCCGGUUUUAAAUAAAGGAAUAAGUGUGGCGAAGUGUCGUGCGGUGUUCUGAAAAGGUUGUGGCAAUGUGAACACCGGCGGAAAGCGGCCGGGUUUGCAACUGGUUGUUAAGUUUUAUUAUUUCAGGUCCACUUCUGCUUGAGGAGAUUCUGGUGCUCAGAGGCGGCUGCUGGCGAAUAUUUCAUGGUAGGAGAGAUAGAUGGCGCGACAUCGAUGGGACCCGGGGCUAGUUCGUGGUGACAGGAUGAAGUUCGGUUGCUGUUGACGGACCAACUCCAUCUAUCCUGUUGAAGGGGCUGGACCAUAGUUGGUGUAGACCAACAGUGUCAAGUUCUCCCCGGCGAUGCGGCGUCUGACGAUGCACAAUCCCGCAGAUCGCCAUUACGGUGUAGCCGCAUCGGACCACCGGGGGGGCCCUUCAUCAACUUCUCGUUGGUUAGGGCAUUGGCACUGGCAGCCGAUGGAGUUGGAGAAAGAAGACUGUCCGGUUCCAUCCACGGACGGGAUGGAAAAGAGUGAGUAUCGUUCCGAUCGGUCCCUUUGACAUGCUAGGGGUUCAUCUGUUUUCUUCCUUUUUAGGUUCAGCUUGCCUGCUGAGGAGUACCUGAGCAGAGGUUAGACAUCGAAGAGGUUCCAGUAGGAAGGAAAGCUUGUCUUUGGAUUUGGGCACAGAAAAUCAAAAUCCCGGCCCCAUUGAACAUGCACGGGGCCCAAAAUCCGGCGGAAAAUAUUCCCGAGGUGUGAUAGGAUCAUAUGUUUCGAAUCAAAAUAAACACGAUGCUACGCACACCAACAUAUCCAGUGACAGAUGGAACUGAAAAUGUUUUUUUUAUUCAGGGUUCGGGUUGGCACUGGCCCAGGUUUAAAAACGAAUUCGACAUAGAAUACGACAACAUCAAAUUUGGCAUUCUAUCUAUCUAUCUAUCGCAAGGGUACAAGGAGUAAUCUUCAACCCUGCAAAAAGUCGCCAGGCUUGAAACGGGACGCAUCUCUGCAAACUGACGGUACAAAUCCGGUGCGCAAAAUUAGGCCUCUUCUAAUCGUAUAAAAACUGCAAGUUUUAUUAAGUUUAUGGCCAUCAGAUUGACAAUCGUCGCUCUCUCAACGAAUUAAACCAGAAGUCUUUCUGGGAAUUCAUCCGGAAGUUCGUCCGGAAAUAGGAAUUUUGCUGGAAGUUCCUCCAGAAAUUCCUCCGGA